rnacentral:lncRNA from 1 species
AAAAAAAAAAAAAGAAAAAAAAGAAAAAAAAUUGCCUCAGUAAGUCUGAAGAAGUUGCAAUGAAACUUCUUUCAAAGUUCGGUCUUGCAAAGGUUUGUUUCGAUCUAAUGUAAGCAGCAUUUAAAUGGAUACAGCCUUUCUGACACUAAACAAAUGAAAAAAAAAGGGCCUGCUUUUCUGACUGUUUCCUUUCCCCCUGUUCUUCCCAAUGACACGUGCAUCCGUGAAUGCUUUCACAUUGCACAAGAUCCAAACCACCACACAAAAGCACACGAAGUCCCUUCCCCACUUGGCACAGUCCCUCCCGACCCUCUGCAGAGGCAUCAGCUCAGCGCCUGGCUGUGCAUCCUCCCUGUGUUUUCCAAGUUUUUCAGAAAAACCUUGACAUUUUAGUAAAUGUUAAGGCUAAGAAUUGGGAAGUUUCUCUGUAAGAGAAGGGGAAGUGUUCUUGCUCUUUACAGCAUUUCACCCCCCAAACGGGAAGCAUCCUCUAAAUUGCUGAUCUAGUGCUCAGCCACUUCUUUCAGGCUCUUCUGCAUUUACCAUGAAAAUAGACUUUUCCUGGAAAAAAACACCCCACACCCCUUUAGGGGCGAAGGAACUCCACUACCAUUUACUAAGAGAUAUUAGAGCUGUGUUUGUCAGGAUACUGAAGUCCAAACUUCAGGGCUCCAUCCUUACACUGUCCCUUCAAAGACCCUGUCUCUAAUUUUGUAUUUCUUUCUUUCUUUCUUUCGUUUUGAGACGGAGUCUUGCUCUUGUCGCCCAGGCUGGAGUGCAGUGGUGCGAUCUCGGCUUACUGCAUCCUCUGCCUCCCGAGUUCAAGUGAUUCUGCUGCCUCAGCCUCCUGAGUAGCUGGGAUUACAGGUGCCCACCAUCACACCUGGCUAAUUUUUGUACUUCAGUAGAGAUGGGGUUUCAC